rnacentral:tRNA from 2 species
GCAUCCAUGGCUGAAUGGU